rnacentral:lncRNA from 1 species
UGUCCCACUGGAUGGCUACUGCUGGCUGGCUGAUCUGUCGGGUAUGAUCAAGAAUUCAACAUCAACGCUAUCAGCACCAAACUGAUCACCAAAUUGAUGAGUGAUGGAUCAACAAUCCGUCGGGUAGUACAAGCUGAAGUACAGAUAAUUGGGUGGAAUUUGUAGAGUUCAUAAUUUCAUAUGAUUGAGGUUACAAUAGCACGGUAUACUGUUCUUCAGUUCCAUUGCUUCAGAAACAAAACAAAACGGAAAUGAAAGCAAAAUGAAAAAAGAGAAAAAGAAAGUUGAAUAGAAAUGCGUGGUUAAUAAAUUGUCGCAUACUAUGUACUAGGAGUGGUGUUCUUGAUCAUCAGUUCAUCGCAUGGACGAGGCAGCUAUGGCGCUAGAGGCCUUUUCCCGCGCGCUUCAGCAGCACGGCCGGCACGAACGGCGCGGCGAAGGCGUAGGGGUCGACGGCGCCNNN